UGUUGCCAAAGAUGCCAAGAGAAGAAAGAAAAAGGCAAAGAGAGAGCAGCAAGUAAGUGGUGUAUCAAGCCGUGGUGGAACCUGCCUGGAUAUUGAUGGCUGCUUUGCAGAGAGCAAGAGAAAGUUUUGUGCUGCAAUGGGGACUGAAGUGCACUGAUUUCCAGACUGAAGUUGAAGAGGAGGAGGAGGACUUGUCCC
rnacentral:lncRNA from 12 species